rnacentral:rRNA from 1 species
UACGGGGGGGGCAAGCGUUGUUCGGAAUUACUGGGCGUAAAGGGCUCGUAGGUGGCCAACUAAGUCAGACGUGAAAUCCCUCGGCUUAACCGGGGAACUGCGUCUGAUACUGGAUGGCUUGAGUUCGGGAGGGGGAUGCGGAAUUCCAGGUGUAGCGGUGAAAUGCGUAGAUAUCUGGAGGAACACCGGUGGCGAAGGCGGCAUCCUGGACCGACACUGACACUGAGGAGCGAAAGCCAGGGGAGCAAACGGG